rnacentral:rRNA from 1 species
AACGAACGCUGGCGGCAGGCUUAACACAUGCAAGUCGAACGCAUCCUUCGGGGUGAGUGGCAGGCGGGUGAGUAACGCGUGGGAAUCUACCCUGAUCUGCGGGAUAGCUCCGGGAAACUGGAAUUAAUACCGCAUAUGUCCUGAGGGACAAAGAUUCAUCGGUUCAGGAUGAGCCCGCGUCCGAUUAGCUAGUUGGUGGGGUAAAGGCCUACCAAGGCGACGAUCGGUAGCUGGUCUAAGAGGAUGAUCAGCCACAUUGGGACUGAGACACGGCCCAAACUCCUACGGGAGGCAGCAGUGGGGAAUAUUGGACAAUGGGCGCAAGCCUGAUCCAGCCAUGCCGCGUGAGUGAUGAAGGUCUUAGGAUUGUAAAGCUCUUUCACCGGGGACGAUAAUGACGGUACCCGGAGAAGAAGCCCCGGCUAACUUCGUGCCAGCAGCCGCGGUAA